rnacentral:rRNA from 1 species
UACGUAGGGUGCAAGCGUUGUCCGGAAUUAUUGGGCGUAAAGAGCUUGUAGGCGGUUUGUCGCGUCUGCUGUGAAAUUUCCGGGCUCAACCCCGAACUUGCAGUGGGUACGGGCAGACUAGAGUGUGGUAGGGGAGACUGGAAUUCCUGGUGUAGCGGUGAAAUGCGCAGAUAUCAGGAGGAACACCGAUGGCGAAGGCAGGUCUCUGGGCCAUAACUGACGCUGAGAAGCGAAAGCAUGGGGAGCGAACAGG